GACGAACGCUGGCGGCGUGCUUAACACAUGCAAGUCGAACGGAAAGGCCCUGCUUUUGUGGGGUGCUCGAGUGGCGAACGGGUGAGUAACACGUGAGUAACCUGCCCUUGACUUUGGGAUAACUUCAGGAAACUGGGGCUAAUACCGGAUAGGAGCUCCUGCUGCAUGGUGGGGGUUGGAAAGUUUCGGCGGUUGGGGAUGGACUCGCGGCUUAUCAGCUUGUUGGUGGGGUAGUGGCUUACCAAGGCUUUGACGGGUAGCCGGCCUGAGAGGGUGACCGGCCACAUUGGGACUGGGAUACGGCCCAGCCCCCUCCGGGGGGCAGCGGGGGGGAAUGUUGAAAAAGGGGGGGAAGCCUGAUGCAGCAACGCCGGGGGCGGGAGGACGGCCUUCGGGUUGUAAACCGCUUUCGCCUGGGAAGAAGGGGGGGUGACGGUAAUGGGGAAAAAAGCACCGGCAAACUACGU
rnacentral:rRNA from 1 species